rfam:Schistosoma mansoni strain Puerto Rico chromosome 1, complete genome
AUCCAGCUGACGAGUCCCAAAUAGAACGAAACACGGGUCCUGGAU